CUUGCUCCUUUGACGUUAGCGGCGGACGGGUGAGUAACACGUGGGUAACCUACCUAUAAGACUGGGAUAACUUCGGGAAACCGGAGCUAAUACCGGAUAAUAUUUCGAACCGCAUGGUUCGAUAGUGAAAGGUGGUUUUGCCAUCACUUAUAGAUGGACCCGCGCCGUAUUAGCUAGUUGGUAAGGUAACGGCUUACCAAGGCGACGAUACGUAGCCGACCUGAGAGGGUGAUCGGCCACACUGGAACUGAGACACGGUCCAGACUCCUACGGGAGGGCAGGU
rnacentral:rRNA from 1 species